CAGGGAAGAGGAAUGGGAACCAGGACCGCCCAGGUAACGCUGUUUCCCAGGUAACGCUGUUUCCCAGGUAACACUGUUUCUUUUCCGCAGAGGUCAGACCCAGAGUCCGAAGGAGAAGGGAUGAAGGAUUGCAUUCAGCCCUCCAUUUCUUGCACCCCACCCGAGAGGCCAGUCCCUCACCCCGGCUGCAGGUCAGGCGGUUUGGGGAGGGGGUUGUUAAAGCCGAGUCUGCCCACCAGCCAGUACGUGUCCUCAGCGCCCUUGCCCUGGAGAGACACAGUGGAGGGGAGACUUAGGUGGACUGGGAUGAGGGAUGAGUGAUCUGUAGGUCUAAGUGGAACCAAGAAACUCCAGGUCCCUAAGGAAGCCCCAAGGAGGGGGCGGGGCCGACCCUGCCUCACCUUCAGCUCGGUGCGACCUCGCAGUUCCAACUGGAAUCCCUGGUCCAGAGCGCAGAGAAUCUGCACAGUGCUCAUGUUCACGUGAAUGCGGGCUCCGCCUCACCUCCCCCAACUCCUUGAGGCCCUGGCACACUCACGCAGCCCAGUGGACUCCAUGCGCGAGGCAGUGUUGACCGUGUCCCCAAACAGGCAGUAUCUCGGCAUGGUGAGGCCCACGACGCCUGCCACGCACGGGCCUGCGGAGAUGCACAAGGUUGGCUGGCAGGCGGGGCCUGGGAUGAAGAUAAUGGUGCCCAAGGGCCCUUGGAGGGUCUGUACUUUAGCUCCAAGCACCUCAUAUCUCCAC
rnacentral:lncRNA from 1 species